CUCGUAGGCGGUUUGGUAAGUCGGGUGUGAAAACUCUGGGCUCAACCCAGAGAGGCCACCCGAUACUGCUAUGACUAGAGUACGGUAGGGGAGCGGGGAAUUCAUGGUGUAGCGGUGAAAUGCGCAGAUAUCAUGAGGAACACCAGCGGCGAAGGCGCCGCUCUGGGCCGUAACUGACGCUGAGGAGCGAAAGCGUGGGUAGCAAACA
rnacentral:rRNA from 1 species